AUUUAGAGGAAGGAGAAGUCGUAACAAGGUUUCCGUAGGUGAACCUGCGGAAGGAUCAUUGUCGAUGCCUAAACAUCAAACGACCCGCGAACGCGUUUACAAACCUUCCGUGCCGGAGGGGAUGCAUCUUCUUGCUUGCCCCCCCUCUCGGUGCCUAAACCAAACCCCGGCGCAGGUCGCGCCAAGGAACUCAAACGAAUUCGCCCGCCCCCCGCCCCGAUCUCGGCGUGCGGGGAGCGGAGCAUUCUUGUCGUAUUAUUCACAACGACUCUCGGCAACGGAUAUCUCGGCUCUCGCAUCGAUGAAGAACGUAGCGAAAUGCAAUACUUGGUGUGAAUUGCAGGAUCCCGCGAACCACCGAGUCUUUGAACGCAAGUUGCGCCCGGAGCCUUCUGGCCGAGGGCACGUCUGCCUGGGCGUCACGCAUCGCUGCCCCGCGCACCUCCUCCCUGCGAGCGAGCGAGGACUCCUUCGCCGACCCUCUGAACGUCGUCCCCAAAGACGAUGCUCUCGACGCGACCCCAGGUCAGGCGGGACUACCCGCU
rnacentral:misc_RNA from 1 species